rnacentral:snRNA from 1 species
CAGUUUUACAGCUCUUUUAGAAUUUGUCUAGCAGUUUUCUGUUUUGUGAUGUAAAGGGCCCC